UACGAAGGAUGCAAGCGUUAUCCGGAUUCAUUGGGCUUAAAGGGUGCGUAGGCGGCCUGCUAAGUCAGUGGUGAAAUCUUCUCGCUUAACGAGAAAACUGCCAUUGAUACUGGUGGGCUUGAGUACAGAUGCUGUGGGCGGAAUAUGACAUGUAGUGGUGAAAUACAUAGAGAUGUCAUAGAACACCGAUUGCGAAGGCAGCUCACAAAACUGUAACUGACGCUGAGGCACGAAAGUGCGGGGAUCAAACAGG
rnacentral:rRNA from 1 species